CUAUGCGCCUUGCCAGCCCGCUCAGGUGUGCCAGCCGCCGCGGUAAUACGUAGGUGGCGAGCGUUGUCCGGAAUUACUGGGCGUAAAGGGCGCGUAGGUGGGCGCUUAAGUCAGGUGUGAAAACUCCGGGCUCAACCUGGAGACUGCACUUGAAACUGGGUGUCUUGAGGGCAGGAGAGGAAAGUGGAAUUCCUAGUGUAGCGGUGAAAUGCGUAGAUAUUAGGAGGAACACCAGUGGCGAAGGCGACUUUCUGGACUGUACCUGACGCUGAGGCGCGAAAGCGUGGGUAGCGAACGGG
rnacentral:rRNA from 1 species